UGACUNGAGUGCAGAAGGGGAGAGUGGAAUUCCAUGUGUAGCGGUGAAAUGCGUAGAUAUAUGGAGGANCACCAGUGGCGAAAGCGGCUCUNUGGUCUGUCACUGACGCUGAGGCUCGAAAGCGUGGGUAGCGAACAGGAUUAGAUACCCUGGUAGUCCACGCCGUAAACGAUGAGUGCUAGGUGUUAGGCCCUUUCCGGGGCUUAGUGCCGGAGCUAACGCAAUAAGCACUCCGCCUGGGGAGUACGACCGCAAGGUUGAAACUCAAAGGAAUUGACGGGGGCCCGCACAAGCGGUGGAGCAUGUGGUUUAAUUCGAAGCAACGCGAAGAACCUUACCAGGUCUUGACAUCCCGAUGCUAUUCUUAGAGAUAGGAAGUUACUUCGGUACAUCGGAGACAGGUGGUGCAUGGUUGUCGUCAGCUCGUGUCGUGAGAUGUUGGGUUNNNNNNNNNNACGAGCGCAACCCUUAUUGUUAGUUGCCAUCAUUAAGUUGGGCACUCUAGCGAGACUGCCGGUAAUAAACCGGAGGAAGGUGGGGAUGACGUCAAAUCAUCAUGCCCCUUAUGACCUGGGCUACACACGUGCUACAAUGGUCGGUACAACGAGUUGCGAGCCGGUGACGGCAAGCUAAUCUCUGAAAGCCGAUCUCAGUUCGGAUUGGAGGCUGCAACUCGCCUCCAUGAAGUCGGAAUCGCUAGUAAUCGCGGAUCAGCACGCCGCAGUGAAUACGUUCCCGGGCCU
rnacentral:rRNA from 1 species